UGGGGAAUAUUGGACAAUGGGCGAAAGCCUGAUCCAGCCAUGCCGCGUGUGUGAAGAAGGUCUUCGGAUUGUAAAGCACUUUAAGUUGGGAGGAAGGGCAGUAACCUAAUACGUUAUUGUUUUGACGUUACCGACAGAAUAAGCACCGGCUAACUCUGUGCCAGCAGCCGCGGUAAUACAGAGGGUGCAAGCGUUAAUCGGAAUUACUGGGCGUAAAGCGCGCGUAGGUGGUUUGUUAAGUUGGAUGUGAAAGCCCCGGGCUCAACCUGGGAACUGCAUUCAAAACUGGCAAGCUAGAGUAUGGUAGAGGGUGGUGGAAUUUCCUGUGUAGCGGUGAAAUGCGUAGAUAUUAGGAGGAACACCAGUGGCGAAGGCGGCUUUCUGGACUGUAACUGACGCUGAGGCACGAAAGCGUGGGGAGCAAACA
rnacentral:rRNA from 1 species